UACGUAGGGGGCGAGCGUUAUCCGGAAUUAUUGGGCGUAAAGAGUACGUAGGUGGUUUCCUAAGCGAGGGGUUUAAGGCAAUAGCUUAACUAUUGUUCGCCCCCCCGAACUGGGUAACUUGAGUGCUGGAGAGGAAAGCGGAAUUCCUAGUGUAGCGGUGAAAUGCGUAGAUAUUAGGAGGAACACCAGUGGCGAAGGCGGCUUUCUGGACAGUAACUGACACUGAGGUACGAAAGUGUGGGGAGCAAACAGG
rnacentral:rRNA from 1 species